rnacentral:rRNA from 1 species
GUAACGCGUGGGUAACCUGCCUCAUACAGGGGGAUAACAGUUAGAAAUGACUGCUAAUACCGCAUAAGCGCACAGUGCUGCAUGGCACAGUGUGAAAAACUCCGGUGGUAUGAGAUGGACCCGCGUCUGAUUAGCUAGUUGGUGGGGUAACGGCCUACCAAGGCGACGAUCAGUAGCCGGCCUGAGAGGGUGAACGGCCACAUUGGGACUGAGACACGGCCCAAACUCCUACGGGAGGCAGCAUG